rnacentral:tRNA from 1 species
AGUCCCAUAGUGUAGAGGCCAAGCACACGAGGUUCUGGACCUUGUAACGGCGGUUCGAAUCCGCCUGGGACUA